GGCUGGAAAGAUGGCUCAGUGGUUAAGAGCACUGACUGCUCUUCCAGAGGUCCUGAGUUCAAAUCCCAGCAACCA
rnacentral:tRNA from 1 species